AACACGUGGGUAACCCUGCCUGUAAGACUGGGAUAAUCCGGGAAACCGGGGUUAAUACCGGAUGGUUGUUUGAACCGCAUGGUUCAAACAUAAAAGGUGGCUUCGGCUACCACUUACAGAUGGACCCGCGGCGCAUUAGCUAGUUGGUGAGGUAACGGCUCACCAAGGCAACGAUGCGUAGCCGACCUGAGAGGGUGAUCGGCCACACUGGGACUGAGACACGGCCCAGACUCCUACGGGAGGCAGCAGUAGGGAAUCUUCCGCAAUGGACGAAAGUCUGACGGAGCAACGCCGCGUGAGUGAUGAAGGUUUUCGGAUCGUAAAGCUCUGUUGUUAGGGAAGAACAGAGUACCGUUCGAAUAGGGCGGUACCUUGACGGUACCUAACCAGAAAGCCACGGCUAACUACGUGCCAGCAGCCGCGGUAAUACGUAGGUGGCAAGCGUUGUCCGGAAUUAUUGGGCGUAAAGGGCUCGCAGGCGGUUUCUUAAGUCUGAUGUGAAAGCCCCCGGCUCAACCGGGGAGGGUCAUUGGAAACUGGGGAACUUGAGUGCAGAAGAGGAGAGUGGAAUUCCACGUGUAGCGGUGAAAUGCGUAGAGAUGUGGAGGAACACCAGUGGCGAAGGCGACUCUCUGGUCUAGUAACUGACGCUGAGGAGCGAAAG
rnacentral:rRNA from 1 species